UGUUUUGCCAUACUACCCUGAACACGCCCGAUCUAGUCUGAUCUCAGAAGCUAAGCAGGGUCAGGCCUGGUUAGUACUUGGAUGGGAGACCGCCUGGGAAUACUGGGUGCCAUGGCAC
rnacentral:rRNA from 1 species